rnacentral:rRNA from 1 species
AUUGGGCGUAAAGCGUCCGUAGGCGGUCAAUUAAGUCAGUCGUUAAAGACUGCAGCUCAACUGUGGGAGAGCAACUGAAACUGAUUAACUAGAGUAUGGUAGGGGUAGAGGGAAUUCCUAGUGUAGCGGUGAAAUGCGUAGAUAUUAGGAAGAACACCGGUGGCGAAGGCGCUCUACUGGGCCAAGACUGACGCUGAUGGACGAAAGCUAGGGGAGCGAAAGGGAUUAGAUACCCCUGUAGUCCUAGCUGUAAACGAUGGAUACUAGGUGUUGUGCGUAUCGACCCGUGCAGUACCGAAGCAAACGCGUUAAGUAUCCCGCCUGGGGAGUACGCACGCAAGUGUGAAACUCAAAGGAAUUGACGGGGGCCCGCACAAGCGGUGGAGUAUGUGGUUUAAUUCGAUGCAACGCGAAGAACCUUACCAGGACUUGACAUCCCUCGAAUACCUAAGAAAUUGGGUAGUGCCUUCGGGAGCGAGGAGACAGGUGGUGCAUGGCUGUCGUCAGCUCGUGUCGUGAGAUGUUGGGUUAAGUCCCGCAACGAGCGCAACCCACGUCUUUAGUUGCCAUCAUUCAGUUGGGCACUCUGGAGAGACUGCCGGGGACAACUCGGAGGAAGGUGUGGACGACGUCAAGUCAUCAUGCCCCUUACGUUCUGGGCUACACACGUACUACAAUGCAACGGACAAAGGGCAGCCAACUAGCGAUAGUGAGCUAAUCCCAUAAACCGUUGCUCAGUUCAGAUUGCAGGCUGCAACUCGCCUGCAUGAAGGAGGAAUCGCUAGUAAUCGCAGGUCAGCAUACUGCGGUGAAUACGUUCCCGGGCCUUGUACACACCGCCCGUCACACCAUGGAAGUUGGCCAUGCCCGAAG